UUUUCGUUUUCGAUUUUGUUAGUUUUGCUAGUGACUUUUAAUUUUGGAAAAAGGCAACCCUGUCCAAUGCGAGAUAUGACAGGUCACAGGAUAAUCCGUUUGUUUUCUGAAAUUUGAAUUAUUCUUGAUUUCUUGAGUUUGUUGUUAAUUUUAAAAUGGCUUCUAGGAGGAAGGUGUAUUGUGUUUUUGGAUGUAGUGAAAUGGGAGCAAUUAUGCAUCGUUUCCCUCACCCUUCAAGACGACGAGUUGUUUGCUAUCGGGAUGUCAAUUGUUGGUGAAUGACUAAAAGAUCUUGAGCCUGACAUGAUCUAAAGAAACAAGAGAGACUGUGAUUACCAUUUCAAGCCUGAGCACAAAGUUUCAGGUCACCGAUUACUCCAUUUAUCUGUUCCAUCAAUCUACUAGUGGUAUAUUUCAUUCUGCGAGUAUAGCAGUUUACAUGGAACAUAACUAUUCUCCGCCAAGGAUGUGGCCUUAUGAGACAAGGGCAAAUGAAGAUAAUGAUGUCCCCAUUAAAUCAGCAAAUUUUAGAUAAAGGUCGCACAAAACAUUGUGAUGAAUACUUAGUAAAAAAAUAUAAAGUCCCAAAUUGAACAGAAAAAUUGAAGUUAAAGAAAAGUAUGGCUAAAGAGAGAAGUUUUAAAUUGCCAAUGCCGAAAAUUAGUUGCUGGUCAGGCAUUUCAUAAAGUCACAGCAAAAAUGUCAGAAGCUGGAAUUUUUUUUACUGGAAUACAAUUUAAACAAGCUCUGAAAAUACCUAAAGGAAGACGUUAUACCGCUGAAGAAAAAGUGUUGGCCUUGACUUUGUUAUUUUAUUUGUUAUGUUUGUGUUAUUAUACUGCUUAACCAAAUACAUAUAUAAUAUAUAAAUAAUCUUAAGCUACUAGAAUGCUAGUUAUAUAGUGUGGAAAAAAAUGAAUAAACUCCCAAUUAAUUUAAAAGCGUUUUUCUUUACCUGGCCCAAUUAUCUUUAGAUUUUCAAAUGUGU